UCAAAAAACAAAACAAAACAAAACAAAACAAAACUGCAACAGCCAAAAAAAAAACAGGACCAAGGCAUGAGAGGAGAUUCACAUCACAUGAGGUCUGGAAACCGUACCCUCAGCUCACCUCUCCGGAUGGGCAAGGGACCUUAACUUCAUUCGGAGAAUCCUGAGCUUGUACCUUGGGCCUAUUAGAGAUCCUGUAGAGAACAUCAAGGAAAUUGCAGCCACUUUAUCCAGAUCUUGAUUAAAUCUUGCAAGUAGAA
rnacentral:lncRNA from 1 species